AAGUUAAAAGAUGUGAAGCAGCUGCAGGCUAACACUGUAUAAACCGCUACAAUCAGCUUUCUCUUUUGAUUCUUCAGAACCUCCUUUUCAUGGCUGCUCUGUCCCAAAUAUGCGCCACAGAGAGAGAGAAAGGAAGAGCUGGUAAAUCAAUCUCCAGAAGUAAUUAAAAGCCGGAAAAAAGAAACCAUUCCACAGUUCAUGAUGGAGACCUUGAAAACUAGCAGUCAAGUUUACACAGAACUUAAUGAGCACAGCUGUCUGGAAGCUAUGUGUCAUCAGGUGCUUCUCUGAUGCUUGAAGGGGUGCCAAAUUUCCAGCCUAGCUACCAGGAUGGGAAGGUGUUAAUGAAUACCUCGUGGGUGGGACAACUGGACUGACAAGCUCGCCUCCCAUGCUUCAACCCAGUAAAGCUUCACUAAGCCCUAAA
rnacentral:lncRNA from 1 species